ensembl:lncRNA
GCGUGCGGAGGGCGGGGCGUCCCCGGGCUCCGCCGCGCCGCCGCCUCCUCUGCCUCCUCCUCACCAGCGCUAAAGCCGGGACUGGACCGAGCGGAAUUGUGCGUGUCGCCGAAGGGGGGUGGGCCGGGGGAGGGGAGGUUCGUUCCGCGGAGCUGCAGCCAGAACCGGGUGAGGCUUAUCCCCGCUGUCUUUCCUGUCGAGGGCCGCGGAGAGUGGGGGUGGCUGGGAGCAGCGCAGCCUCGGGAGGAGGAGACGGAGGUGGGUGAGGGCAGCGUCGGGAGCCUCCCACCGACCGGGUCUGAGACCGCGGUGGCGGAUGUCGCCGCUGCUGCAUUGCUGCUGCAUCGCUGCUGCGUCGGGGCCUCGGGGCGCGUCGGGGGCCGCGCUCAUGUCCCGGAUGUCUUUGCGUGCGGCCCGAGGGAGACUUUCAAGCCAAUCUGGUGAAACAUUUGGCAGAAAUAAGGAAAACAUCUCCAUCGUGUUUUGCUGCUCGGGUGCAAUGUUCAAGAACACCAGAAGAGGGCAGUAAAUCCUUUAGAACUAGAGAGCAGGUUGGGAGCUGCACUGGAAGUGUGGGGACUUAAAUCCUGGUCCCUUGGAAGAGCAGCCACUGAGCCAUCUCUCCAGCCCUUGUGAUUUUUCUUCCUCUUCUCUCUACCACCACCUCCUCCUCCUCCUCCUCCUCCUCCUCCUCCUCUUUUUUUUUUUUUUUUUUUUUUGGUUUUUCGAGACAGGGUUUCUCUGUGUAGCUUUGGAGCCUAUCCUGGCACUUGCUCUGUAGACCAGGCUGGCCUCGAACUCACAGAGAUCCACCUGCCUCUGCCUCCCGAGUGCUGGGAUUAAAGGUGUGCGCCACCAACCCCGGCCCUAUAUAGUACUUGUUAACCCUAUCUUUUUUAUUUUUGAGAGAGAGAGUUGGAUUCGCUGGAGCUGGAGUUCCAGGUAUUUGCAAGUGGGAUUAGUUGGGUGCUGGAAUCAGAACUCUUCCUCUGGAAGAACAGCAAAUGCUCUUAACUGUGAGCCAUCUCUCCAGUAUCCAUCAGAUGUGCCUUUUUAAAGUUAGGGUAGUGUCAGACUGUAGAAUUCUCUGUCUAGUUUUUAAGAAUGGAUAUUUGACUGGGUGUAGUGGCACAUGCCUUUGAUCCCUGUACUCAGGAGAUAGAGGCAGGGGGAACUCUGAAUUCAAGGCCAGACUGGACUAUAUAGAGAAACCCUGUUGGAGAGAUGUGGUAGGGGGGAACCAGACACACAAAAUUAAAUAAACAUUUUAAAAAAUCAUACAAUUAAAUAAUACUAAAUAAACAUUUAAAAGAAUUUAGACACUAUAAUAUGGUGGGUUGUGACACAUGCCUUUAAUCCUAGCAGUUAGGAGUCAGAGGCAGGCAAAUGUCUACAAAGUGUCAGGACAGCCAGGGCUAUACAGGGAAACACUGUCUCAAAAAGAAAAAAUACAAUGGUUUUGAUAAAGGUUUGCCAAAGGUGUUAUGAUCCACAUGUUGCUGCUGCUUUAGAAUUUCAAAGCCCUAGGGCAUUGGUGGUGCACACCUUUAAUCCCAGCACUUAGGAGGCAGAGGCAGGCAGAUCUCUGUGAGUUCGAGGCCAGCCUGGUCUCCAGAGUGAGUGCCAGGAUAGACUCC